GGGGAAUCUUCCGCAAUGGGCGAAAGCCUGACGGAGCAACGCCGCGUGAGGGAUGAAGGCCUCUGGGCUGUAAACCUCUUUUCUCAAGGAAGAAGAUCUGACGGUACUUGAGGAAUAAGCCACGGCUAAUUCCGUGCCAGCAGCCGCGGUAAUACGGGAGUGGCAAGCGUUAUCCGGAAUUAUUGGGCGUAAAGCGUCCGCAGGCGGCCUUACAAGUCUGUCGUUAAAACGUGGAGCUUAACUCCAUCAAGGCGAUGGAAACUGUAAGGCUAGAGUGUGGUAGGGGCAGAGGGAAUUCCCGGUGUAGCGGUGAAAUGCGUAGAUAUCGGGAAGAACACCAGUGGCGAAGGCGCUCUGCUGGGCCAUAACUGACGCUCAUGGACGAAAGCCAGGGGAGCGAAAGGGAUUAGAUACCCCUGUAGUC
rnacentral:rRNA from 1 species